CUGUCUGUGUGCAACUGAGGCUGAGCCUCUCUGUAUUCAACUACGGCUCAUUACCGCUAGGGGCUCUGCCCACAUGACAAGAUACAACAGGCUAUACUUUGAAGAGUAGAUUUAAUCCGAUCCCUUGCUGCGCGCGCGAGUUUCCCGAUAGGAGUGGUCCAACAAUUAGAAAAUAGUUUUCCUCAAGUCUAUAUUUUGAUUUUCCGAUUUUCCCUUUAUCCUUUUUGGUAAAAUUUAUUGCACUCCGGAGCACUCUAGUGUCAAAAGAGGCUGUUGGUUUGUAUUACAGAUGAAUCUGUUCAAGUACAACCAUUUGAGGAAAAUGGUUAUUUGGCUAGAAUAGAUUUCAAUCCUACAGUUCCCUAUUGUUCACUUGCCAGCCUUAUUGGCCUCUGGCUGAGGCAAGAUUCAGAAAAAUGUGGUGGGAAGGAUCAAAUUGGACAUAGUUAUUGCAGAGGGUAAACACAGCACAGAAGAAGAGAUCAAUAAACAAAUCAACGAUAAGGAAAGAGUCGCCGCCGCCUAAGAGAAUCUUAACGAGGAAUUUUUUUGAGAAGAAAAAAAUAAAAGACAAUAAAUUUCCUCAGAGUAUUUUGUAUUCCAUUCCAUGAGAUCAACUCACAAGUAUGAAAGGCACUGCAAAGGCACUGCAGAGACAAUUUCAUCGCACAUAUACACUCUGGAUUGAUUUUAGUAUAAGACUAGAACAAUUACCAAAAAGCUCCCUGGUAAAUUUAUAAAUAAAGCAAGUGUUAUCUCUGGUAAGAAGAAAAGCAUAACCAAAAGCGACAAGCAAGUUUGUUUCGUGAAAGACUUGUAAACUUAAAAAAAGAUCAAAAUUUCUCAAAAACGAGACAA